rnacentral:rRNA from 1 species
UACAGAGGUCUCAAGCGUUGUUCGGAUUCAUUGGGCGUAAAGCGCGUGUAGGCGGCCCGGUAAGUCCGCUGUGAAAGUCGGGGGCUCAACCCUCGGAUGCCGGUGGAUACUGUCGGGCUCGAGUACGGAAGAGGCGAGUGGAAUUCCUGGUGUAGCGGGUGAAAAUGCGCAGAUAUCAGGAGGAACACCAAUUGCGAAGGCAGCUCGCUGGGACGUUACUGACGCUGAGACGCGAAAGCGUGGGGAGCAAACAGG